rnacentral:rRNA from 1 species
UAGAGUUUGAUCCUGGCUCAGGACUAACGCUGGCGGUAUGCCUUAGACAUGCAAGUCGAACGAGUUUCCGGGCUUGCUCGGAAAUUAGUGGCGAACGGCUGAGUAACGCGUAGGUGACCUACCCCGUAGUGAGGAAUAACUGCCCGAAAGGGUAGCUAAUACCUCAUGUUGAGACGCUUUCAUUUGCGUCUCCAAAGCAGCAAUGCGCUAUGGGCGGGGCCUGCGUUCGAUUAGCUAGUUGGUGAGGUAAUGGCUCACCAAGGCGACGAUCGAUAGGUGGUCUGAGAGGACGAUCACCCAGACUGGGACUGAGACACGGCCCAGACUCCUACGGGAGGCAGCAGUCGGGAAUUUUGCGCAAUGGGGGAAACCCUGACGCAGCAAUACCGCGUGUGGGAUGAAGGCCUUCGGGUCGUAAACCACUUUUCUCGGGGACGAUAAUGACGGUACCCGAGGAAUAAGCCACGGCUAACUACGUGCCAGCAGCCGCGGUAAUACCGUAGGUGGCAAGCGUUGUCCGGAUUUACUGGGCGUAAAGCGCGCGCAGGCGGUGAAUGAAGUCGAAAGUGAAAGCCCCGGGCUCAACUCGGGAACAGCUUCCGAAACCAGUUCACUUGGAGUGGAAGAGGGAAGUGGAAUUCCGAGUGUAGCGGUGGAAUGCGCAGAUAUUCGGAGGAACACCAGAGGCGAAGGCGACUUCCUGGUCCAAUCUUGACGCUGAGGCGCGAAAGCUAGGGGAGCAAACAGGAUUAGAUAUCCUGGUA